AAGUGGGUGGUUGGAAGGAUAUGAAAGCAGGAGGCAGAGACCAGCCCUGUGUCUUGCAGCCUGGCUCUGCCCAGCCAUGCUGAACCAGAACCCUUCUCCAGAGCAGCACAGCCUCACAGCAGUGAGCACCGAGACUAUGAUUCCCGUGGCCCCGCACUCCUGCUGGAACUCAGCAGCCAGCCAGACUGUGGCUGCUGCUGAUCAGGGGAAGCACACUUGAGCUGAACACAGAAUCACAGUUCCCUGCCCAGUGCCCACCCAAGGGAGAAGUCACCUCUGUGACAAGCUCCAACACCAGUGCCCCCCAAAACAGAGACACAGCCAUCCGGAACAUCACUCCCUGCCAACUGCCUCAUCUGGAGCCAUCCGCAGCUCAGCUCUUCCCAGCCUGCUCUGGAGACGGCUCCCCCAGAGCAUCCAC